rnacentral:rRNA from 1 species
UACAGAGGUCCCAAGCGUUGUUCGGAUUCACUGGGCGUAAAGGGUGCGUAGGCGGUCGGGUAAGUCUGAUGUGAAAUCUCACAGCUUAACUGUGAAACUGCAUUGGAUACUAUCCGGCUCGAGGAAUGGAGGGGAGACUGGAAUACUUGGUGUAGCAGUGAAAUGCGUAGAUAUCAAAUGGAACACCAGUGGCGAAGGCGAGUCUCUGGACAUUUCCUGACGCUGAGGCACGAAAGCCAGGGGAGCAAACGGG